rnacentral:lncRNA from 1 species
AUGAUCUACUAAUGUUCUAGCUCAAAACAUCAAGAAGAAGCUUGUGGCUGGGUGUGUGGCCUUGAGUGAAAUCUGGGGAGAAAGGUGAACCAGGAGAGAAAAUAUUCUACCAGCUAGCCUGCUAGAAAUGCAAGCCUUCCUCACAUGGGUCUAUGAACACCUAAUAUCCUAUUCCCAUAAGGAUCCACAGGCACACUGGAAGUCCAUGAAGAGCCUAAAAUCUAUAAAAAUAACCUUGGCUGCUUACCCAUAGCAAUUACUUCCUGCUGAGGUCUUCAGUAAUAUUGGUUUGAGGUUCUGAAGUGUAUUUUGAUGGGAAUUCCCAAUGGCUGGCAGUCCUUCUAGAAUCUGAGGUCUCAUAUGGGCUCACGUGCUCUGCUUGAGCUCCUCUUUCCUGUGUCACCAUCUAAAAAGUAUCCUUGGUCAGAAAGCUUAAUACCUCCUCUGAAGACUGAUAAUAUACAUCAUCUUCCUGGACCAGUCUACAAGUGAGGGACAGUGAAUAUUUUGAAUGGCAGCUUUUAGAUAACAAAUCCUCAAAGAGAGAUAGAGUCUUACUCAUCUCUAACAUGUGCUUGACUGUGGAAGACUGCCAAUUAAUAAUGAUUGAGUGAUUUGCUAAAUAAAUAAAAUCUCUGAACAUUGCAGUUAAUGUUAUUUUGGAGAAAAUAAGCAGAAGGCAUGGGGACUGGAAGUUGUGAGGUACGAUGAGGCUUUUGCUGAUACAGGAAUGAUGUCCUCACCCACUGGGCCAUAGGAGUGGCCUCCCAGGAUCAAAGAACAUGGGGAGCCAGCACUGUAUUUUGAAUCAGUAAAUUGUCACAGUUUUUUAUUGGCUGGACCCAGGAAAGCAUGAAACUGGCUGGAAUUGCAGGAGAUAUUUGAGUUAGACACGUCAGAGGACUUCCUGGCCUGAAG